rnacentral:pre_miRNA from 1 species
UUGUCGCUCAAUUGUUAUGAUCUGCUUCUCAUCUGAAGACUAGUUUAUUACAUAUAAGCAUAUUUUUGAAAGUUUGAGAGAGAGAUCACAAGCAGAUCCCGUGCAGAAGGGAACAUCAUUGCUACAACUACAAUAAUUCUUCCACUUCAAGAGCCAUUGGGCCGCUAAACAAGUCUUUAGAUGAGAAGGUAGAUCAUAAUAGCUGAGCGAAAU